rnacentral:rRNA from 1 species
AUGAUCGAGGGACGAGGUGAGGCAGCGCCCAGAUCCACAGCGGCAUCGGCGUGCCAUCGUCGACCUGAGCCGCCACCGUCCUCGAGGUCAACCAUGGAGGGGGGUUUGAUCCGUCGGCAGCCAUGGACGGAGACGCCACAAACCCUAGCAUGGGGACCGAGCCGCCAUGGAUGUUCGAAUGAGGAAGGAGGCCAGCGGCCAGGACGACACCAUGAUCUCACCCUGCUUUGCUCCUUCCCCACCAUGACCACGCCAUGGAAGCAGCAGCAGGGUUCCUUGGUGGGUACAACAGCAGCAGUAAGAGGACACCAUGGUGGGUACAGCGGCAGCAGCAGCGGCGGCAAUGGCUCGAUGGACGCCACCAUGGAAGCUGUGGGGCUGGAGGCGGCAUUCGAGGUUGGAGAUGGCAUGAGAAGCAGAGCUCCCUUGUGCCACUCUCUCUACAAAGAAAGUGUAGUCUGCAAGCUUAUCAAAUCUGGGUACUCUUUGUAG